rnacentral:rRNA from 1 species
GAUGAACGCUGGCGGCGUGCCUAAUACAUGCAAGUCGAGCGAAUGGAUUAAGAGCUUGCUCUUAUGAAGUUAGCGGCGGACGGGUGAGUAACACGUGGGUAACCUGCCCAUAAGACUGGGAUAACUCCGGGAAACCGGGGCUAAUACCGGAUAACAUUUUGAACCGCAUGGUUCGAAAUUGAAAGGCCGCUUCGGCUGUCACUUAUGGAUGGACCCGCGUCUCAUUAGCUAGUUGGUGAGGUAACGGCUAACCAAGGCAACGAUGCGUAGCGGACCUGAGAGGGUGAUCGGCCACACUGGGACUGAGACGCGGCCCAGACUCCUACGGGAGGCAGCAGUAGGGAAUCUUCCGCAAUGGACGAAAGUCUGACGGAGCAACGCCGCGUGAGUGAUGAAGGCUUUCGGGUCGUAAAACUCUGUUGUUAGGGAAGAACAAGUGCUAGUUGAAUAAGCUGGCACCUUGACGGUACCUAACCAGAAAGCCACGGCUAACUACGUGCCAGCCGCCGCAGUAA